rnacentral:rRNA from 1 species
CUACGGGCCGCAGCAGUGGGGAAUAUUGGACAAUGGGCGCAAGCCUGAUCCAGCCAUGCCGCGUGAGUGAUGAAGGCCCUAGGGUUGUAAAGCUCUUUCGCCGGUGAAGAUAAUGACGGUAACCGGUAAAGAAGCCCCGGCUAACUUCGUGCCAGCAGCCGCGGUAAUACGAAGGGGGCUAGCGUUGUUCGGAAUUACUGGGCGUAAAGCGCACGUAGGCGGACAUUUAAGUCAGGGGUGAAAUCCCGGGGCUCAACCCCGGAACUGCCUUUGAUACUGGAUGUCUUGAGUCCGGAAGAGGUGAGUGGAAUUGCGAGUGUAGAGGUGAAAUUCGUAGAUAUUCGCAGGAACACCAGUGGCGAAGGCGGCUCACUGGUCCGGUACUGACGCUGAGGUGCGAAAGCGUGGGGAGCAAACAGGAUUAGAUACCCGCGUAGUC